rnacentral:rRNA from 1 species
UAAUGGCCUACCAAGGCGACGACGGGUAGCCGACCUGAGAGGGUGACCGGCCACACUGGGACUGAGACACGGCCCAGACUCCUACGGGAGGCAGCAGUGGGGAAUAUUGCACAAUGGGCGGAAGCCUGAUGCAGCGACGCCGCGUGAGGGAUGAAGGCCUUCGGGUUGUAAACCUCUUUCAGCAGGGACAAAGCGCAAGUGGCGGUACCUGCAGAGGAAGCACCGGCUAACUACGUGCCAGCAGCCGCGGUAAUACGUAGGGUGCGAGCGUUGUCCGGAAUUACUGGGCGUAAAGAGUUCGUAGGCGGUUUGUCGCGUCGUUUGUGAAAACCCGGGGCUCAACUUCGGGCUUGCAGGCGAUACGGGCAGACUUGAGUGCUUCAGGGGAGACUGGAAUUCCUGGUGUAGCGGUGAAAUGCGCAGAUAUCAGGAGGAGCACCGGUGGCGAAGGCGGGUCUCUGGGAAACAACUGACGCUGAGGAACGAAAGCGUGGGUAGCAAACAGGAUUAGAUACCCUGGUAGUCCACGCCGUAAACGGUGGGCGCUAGGUGUGGGUUCCUUCCACGGAAUCUGUGCCGUAGCUAACGCAUUAAGCG